GAGGAAUAUUGGGCAAUGGGGGAAACCCUGACCCAGCAACGCCGCGUGAAGGAAGAAGGCCUUCGGGUUGUAAACUUCUGUGACAGGGGACGAAAGAAAUGACGGUACCCUGAGAGGAAGCCACGGCAAACUACGUGCCAGCAGCCGCGGUAAUACGUAGGUGGCGAGCGUUGUCCGGAAUCACUGGGCGUAAAGGGCGCGUAGGCGGCGACACAAGUCGCAUGUGAAGGACCAGGGCUUAACCCUGGGAGGUCAUGCGAAACUGUGUUGCUUGAGUGCAGUAGAGGUAAGCGGAAUUCCUGGUGUAGCGGUAAAAUGCGUAGAGAUCAGGAGGAACACCGGUGGCGAAGGCGGCUUACUGGGCUGCAACUGACGCUGAUGCGCGAAAGCGUGGGGAGCAAAC
rnacentral:rRNA from 1 species